CUUCUCAUUUAUUUGUUGCUGUAGUUUCACAAUGACAUGAGCAGUUAUAUGCAUUGGAUAAAGUAAUAUUGGGCCAUUAUAAGUUAAGACUGAGUAACCAUUUUCAUCUCUUUUGCAUAGACUAGACAUUG
rnacentral:snoRNA from 1 species